AAUAGAUACCCAGGUAGUCCUAGCCGUAAACGAUACUCGCUAGGUGUCGGCCACGGUGCGACCGUUGUCGGUGCCGUAGGGAAGCCGUGAAGCGAGCCACCUGGGGAAGUACGGCCGCAAGGCUGAAACUUAAAGGAAUUGGCGGGGGAGCACCACAACGGGUGGAGCUUGCGGUUUAAUUGGAUUCAACGCCGGAAAUCUUACCGGGACCGACAGCAAUAUGAAGGCCAGGCUGAAGACUUUGCCGGAUUAGCUGAGAGGUGGUGCAUGGCCGUCGUCAGUUCGUACUGUGAAGCAUCCUGUUAAGUCAGGCAACGAGCGAGACCCACGCCCACAGUUGCCCAGCGUACUCUCUGGAGUGACGGGUACACUGUGGGGACCGCCGCUGCUAAAGCGGAGGAAGGAAUGGGCAACGGUAGGUCAGUAUGCCCCGAAUAUCCCGGGCUACACGCGAGCUACAAUGGUUGGUACAAUGGGUAUCUACCCCGAAAGGGGACGGGAAUCUCCUAAAACCAAUCUUAGUUCGGAUUGAGGGCUGCAACUCGCCCUCA
rnacentral:rRNA from 1 species